GGCGGUAGUCCUUAAACAUGCAAGUCGAGCGGUGUAGCAAUACCUAGCGGCGAACGGGUGAGUAACACGUGGGUAAUCUUCCUCCGAGUCUGGGAUAACUUUCCGAAAGGAAAGCUAAUACCGGAUAGUCCUGUUGGAUCACCAGAUCUGAUAGGUAAAGAUUUAUUGCUUGGAGAUGAGCCCGCGGCCGAUUAGCUAGUUGGUGAGGUAAUGGCUCACCUAGGCGACGAUCGGUAGCCGCUCUGAGAGGGUGUCCGGCCACAAUGGAACUGAGACACGGUCCAUACUCCUACGGGAGGCAGCAGUUAAGAAUCUUGCUCAAUGGGGGAAACCCUGAAGCAGCGACGCCGCGU
rnacentral:rRNA from 1 species